CUUAGCUACAGACUCCUCUCACCAUGGUGGAUUGGUGGGCAGAGCAGACGAGCAGCAUCGUGCUUGUAUUCCGGCGGGUAGACCCUCGACGGCCUAGCGUCCACCGCGGUGCUUGUAUGCUGCGAGGCAACGCGCUGCCGUUGGACGCUCGUUGUGGCGUGCUCGAUCGCCGGGGCCUUCGUGCGCUUGUACGACGUCGUCAGGCCUGCCUGCUAGCCGCAACUCAUUGCACGCUGCGCAUAUCGAGCGUUCUGCUGCUAGCUGAUAUUCCAGCGUCGCAGCGGGCUGCAGCUCGUGGAGGUCGCAACUAACCGCCGCUCCGCACCAGCUUCCCCGGCGGGGGACAGCCUGUUGCGUUGCAGCUCUUCUAGCAGCUGCACGAGCUCAUCAGAGUUUGUUGGUUGGAGCUUGGGAGGAAGGGGACGGGUAUCUUUUGGUCCAAAUAUUUCGACAAGUGAAGUGAAGAGGUAGGAAGUGCCAUGUCUCCAAUACUUAUAUAAUUGUGAUGGUAUGAUUAUAAAUAGAUGAAUAAUAAUGGUAUAUUACAAAACCUUAAAAAAAUUACAGUGUCAUGAUCCAAUUAACCGUUGUGUUCAAACAGUCAAAGACAGUCUGACAAGAUGCGGACCCAGUAGUAUAUUCAACAUUAGGGUGUGUUUAGUUUUUUGGGUGUAAAUUUUUUUUAAGUAUACGGACACACAUUUGAACUAUUAAACGUAGACUAAUAACAAAACAAAUUACAGAUUCCGCCUGUAAACUGCGAGACGAAUUUAUUAAACCUAAUUAAUUCGUCAUUAGCAAAUGUUUACUGUAGCAUCACAUUGUCAAAUCAUGGCGUAAUUAGGCUUAAAAGAUUCGUCUCACAAUUUACAUGCAAACUGUGCAAUUGGUUUUUUCCCCAUUUAAUUAAUGCCCCAUAUAUGUGUCCAAACAUUUGAUGUGACGUUUUUGGCCAAAAAUUUUUAGGAUCUAAACAAGGCCUGUGUUUAGUUCACGCUAAAAUUGGAAAUUUGAUUGAAAUUGGAACGAUGUGACGGAAAAGUUAGAAGUUUGUAUGUGCAAGAAAGUUUUGAUUUGAUGGAAAAGUCGAGAGUUAGAAGAAAAAGUUUAGAAGUAAACUCAGCCUUAGUUUAUUUUCAUGGUGCUAAACUGCUACUGCUGCUUAUCUACAUGCCCAUAGCAUCCUAGACUUAUCUCUUUCUCCUCCCCCUUAUCUCUUUCUUCUCCCUUUCAUAGCCACAUACAACUUCCCUCUCUAUCUGUCCCACACGGGCAUGAACGAUUCUUUUUUAUUUGUUUCUUUUGUGUGACUGAGACAUGAACGAUAUAUCUCUUCUGAACGAUAUAUCUCUUCUGUUUGAUUCAGUUCUUAGAUAGAAUGAUUUUAUUAAUUUAGGCAUCGAUCUAGCAUGCGGUCGGUAUUAAUUUAGGCAUCAAUAUGUGAUUUUGUCAUAGCCGGCUUGAAUAGAGCUCCUCCCUGUUUUGUUAUACAGAGGAGGCGCUGCCGAUGCAAUCCUAUCAAGCUUAGCUGGGGUAUUGGAUUUGUGUGUUCUUUUCCUUCUUUUCUUUCCUCCCUUCUGCUUGAGUUCUCUAAGAACUGAUUACCUGAUUGGAUUUUAUAUUGGUUUUUAAUUUUAUUUUUUGUCCGACAUCCCGAUUGAAUCUUGCAUCAAUUUUGAAUUUGUUCCUUGUCCGGGCAGAGGGCAUCGCUCGCAGACGAACGCGUAAAAAGAAACGGACAAAAACGGAUUGACGAACACAAAAAUUAUGUGACGAACGGAGAGUUAUUGAUUUUUUAAGUAGUAGUUAUUACUAUAUUAUUAUACGGGAUGGCUAUUUGGCAGUCGAAUGUUUUUUCUUGCCUCUAUCAUUCGUUUUUUAAGCCGUCGGAUUUCUUUGUGAUUCGUACUGGCUUGUAGUUCAUUUUGUAGUGUCGGUGUGUGGGCUUAUGAGCUUUUUAUUUGUGUCUGGGCUUUUGGGCUUUUUUUUGUGUGUGGUAAUUAUGUGGGACCCACAUCAGAAAUUCUUUUCGACAGCCUGUGUGGGACCCAUGGGCACUGUUCGAAUUUUGAAAUCCGCGCUUGUCUUUUUUGUGCCGACGGAGAGAGAGUGAGUCAGAUAGAGGGAGAGAGAGAGAUAUUUCUCUCGUUCUCGUCGUCUCAGGCGACGCGGCGGCGAUUCCGUCGGGCGGAGCGGCGGCGUUUCCGUCGGGAGGAGCGGUGGCGAUUCCAUCCGGUGAUUGUGCAGUCCUGUUGCGCAGUUUGCGGGAGGUGAAGUCUUUGGUUUGCUGGUGGCUACGACGCGGCUGUGAAGUUGGAGCUGAUUUCGUCAUGGGUCAUAGAAAAAGAUCAAAAGUGGAUAUUUCUAGUGAAUCUAACAGUGACAAUGAUUGUAGUUUGAGUUCUGAUAAUCAUGAUGGUGAUGUUCAUUUAUCUAAUCAUGAUGAAAGUUCUGAUAAUCAUGACCAACAUUUUGAGGAAAAUGAUCCUUUGCUUCAUUUAACUAAAGAAGAGCUUAUGAAGAAAUUGAAAAUAAAGCUUGGUAAAAGGCCAUUUACAGAUGACCAUAAAAAGAAGAGACAUAAAGUUGAAUCAGACUCAAUUAUCGAUGAUGCAUUGUUAGAGAUUCACAAUGAUCUAGUUCUCCAUUCUUUGAAAAUGAAAUUAAGCAUGCUUGGUGAACAGUCUAAAAAUAAGAGAAAAACCUUUGAGAAAGAUAACCAACAAGGGUGUGUUCUGACUGAUUGCAAAUUAUUGUUUUAUAUGAUCAUGAUCUUUAAUUUUUUAUAGUUUUUGAUAUGCUAUGGGAUAAGCUUGACACUUUUAUAUUUACUUGCUGAACAUUUAGCUGUGAUUGAAUGCUUGUGCAAGCAUGUGCUGCUCCAUGUUAGAAUGUCUGCAUACAUUUUUUUUCUUGCAAAAUAAACUGUAACUUUAAAUAUUUUUUCAUGUAAUUUUUUUCAGUUUCUUCAUAUAUGUAAGUUUUGUACUGUUACUGCAGUCAAGAAGCUGUUAAUAUUGAUGGAGUUCACUGCAAAUUCUCAUCUUUUGGUUCUUCAUUCAAACAAGGUGGAGAAUUAUCAAAUUUUGUAAUGUUUGUGUUCUGUCGAUAUAUGUUUAAAUCGAUUCAUCCUUCAAAAUCCAAAAGACACUAUUUCUUCUCUUCAAUUGGGAAUGAUCUUAUGAAACACCCUUCAAAAACUAAUUUUGGAAUGGUCCAAAAGAGUUUUUCUAGAGCAUCACUUGCUAGACCAAUUGAGAUAUGUGACAUGGUAUGUACUUAUGUAAUGUUUAAUUGAAUUAGUUUAUAUUAGAUUUCUCUGUUUUUACAUUUGUUUUUAUUGUAUCAUUUUUUCAGCUGUUUUUCCCAAUAUUGCAUUUGAGGCAUUGGUUUCUGUUUGUUGUUGAUUUGAAAGAUGAGAGUUUUGUUUUCAUUGACUCCUUAUUUGAAGAAGAAGAAGACUAUCAAUACAAUGCUAGAUGCAGAUUGGUAUGAUUUUUUUUUUGCAAAUUAUUAUAUGUAUAGAAUAAUUUAUUUUUAUGAUUGUUUCAUUUUGUCAGAUAUCAAAAUUUUCAAUUGUAUGGAGGAAAUUUGUCUCUGAACAUCCAAUUAACUUUGCUAGUUUCAAGAUAAUAUACCCACCUCGUCCAAGACAAACAAAUCGCCUUGAUUGUGGUAUUUUUACUCUGAAAUUCAUGGAAAUUUGGCGUCCAAGAGUUCUGCUAACCAACCAGUUCUCUCAAAAAGACAUUCCUAACAUAAGGAUUCAAUAUGUCAACAAGUUGUUUUUCCAUCCAUGCAACAUUAUGCUGAACUCUGCAACAAAGAAACUUGUUACUGACUAUUAUGCAAAGGGCUGAUUUGAUUCAACAGGAAUACUUUGAAAACCAAGAUUACUUUAGCUCAACAGUUUAUAGUAGAUUUGUAUAGAUACAAUUUCUGUGCCAUAUUGUAACUAUUACAGUAAGAUAACAACUUGAAAGGUCACAUCACAAAAGGUACCAAACUUCA